rnacentral:rRNA from 1 species
UUGACGGUACCCUACUAGAAAGGAGCCGCUAACUUCGUGCCAGAAGCGUCGGUAAUACGGGGGCUCCAAGCGUUAUCCGGUGUUAUUGGGCGUAAAGAGUCGUGUAGGUGGUUGGGUAAGUUAUCUUUCAAAUAUCUUUGCUUAACAAAGAGGAGGGGGAUAAUACUGCUCGACUAGAAUUUUCUCAAGGGAGAUCGGAACUGAGGGAGGAGUAGUGAAAUGCGUUGAUACCCUCGGGAACACCAGUGGCGUAGGCGGAUCUCUGGGAGAAGAUUGACACUGAGACACGAAGGCUAGGGGAGCGAAGCAGAUUAGAGACCUGCGUAGUCCUAGCCGUAAACGCAUGCUUGCUAGCUGCAUGAAUCUACCUUCGGGUGGUAUCGUGUGGCGAAGGUAACCCGUUAAGCAAGCCGCCUGGAAAGUACGGCCGCAAGGCUGAAAUUCAAAGGAAUUGGCGGGGAGGCACACAACCAGUGGAACAUGUGGUUUAAUUCGAGACUAACCGAAGAACCUCACCAGGGUUUGACAUGUAGCUGCACGUCUUAAGAAAUUAAGACUCUCUUGAAGGUGCUACACAGGUGCUGCAUGGCUGUCGUCAGCUCGUUCCGUGAGGAGUGCCCUUAAGUGGGACAACGAGCGCAACCCCUAUUACAUGUUAGAAAUGUCAUGUAAGACUGCCUUGCCAUUUGGCGGGGAGGAAGGAGGGGCAGACGUCAAGUCCGCAUGGUCCUUAUGCCCUGGGCUACACACAUGUUACAAUGAGUACGGCAAUGAGUCUGUCGCGAGCACGUAAGUGUAAGCUAAUCUCUUAAAUGUACUCUCAGUGGGGAUUGAGGUCUGCAACUCGACCUCAUGAACACGGAAUUGGUAGUAAUCGCGGGUCAGCUAUACCGCGGUGAUACGUUCUUGCCUCUUGCACACACCGCCCGUCAAACCAGCAAAGU